rnacentral:snoRNA from 14 species
UCGUGGGAUGAUGUACUACUACCGGGCUCUUAAGAUGCUCGCUUUUCUUGACUCUGCGUCUGAAAUGGACAUUCGG